UACGUAGGGUCCGAGCGUUGUCCGGAAUUACUGGGCGUAAAGAGCUCGUAGGUGGUUUGUCGCGUUGUUCGUGAAAACUCACAGCUCAACUGUGGGCGUGCGGGCGAUACGGGCAGACUUGAGUACUGCAGGGGAGACUGGAAUUCCUAGUGUAGCGGUGGAAUGCGCAGAUAUCAGGAGGAACACCGGUGGCGAAGGCGGGUCUCUGGGCAGUAACUGACGCUGAGGAGCGAAAGCGUGGGGAGCGAACAGG
rnacentral:rRNA from 1 species